UACGUAGGGUGCAGGCGUUAAUCGGAAUUACUGGGCGUAAAGCGUGCGCAGGCGGUUUCUUAAGUCAGAUGUGAAAGCCCCGGGCUUAACCUGGGAACUGCGUUUGAAACUGGGAGACUUGAGUGUGGCAGAGGGGGGUGGAAUUCCACGUGUAGCAGUGAAAUGCGUAGAUAUGUGGAGGAACACCGGUGGCGAAGGCGGGUCUCUGGGCCGAUACUGACGCUGAGGAGCGAAAGCGUGGGGAGCAAACAGG
rnacentral:rRNA from 1 species